GCAGUUGGACAUGGGUUAGUCGGUCCUAAGAGAUAGGGAAACUCCGUAUCAAAGAGCGCGAUUCUUCGCGCCGACUAUCGAAAGGGAAUCAGGUUAAUAUUCCUGAACCAGGACGUGGAUAUUGUAUGGUAACAUAAAUGAACUCGCAGACGUCGGCAGUGAGCCCGGGAAGAGUUAUCUUUUCUUUUUAACAGCUUUCGACCCUGGAAUCAGAUUAACUGGAGAUAGGGUUAAUAGGCUGGGAAAGCACCGCAUUUCUGCGGUGUCCGGUGCCUUCUGUAUGGUCCUUGAAAAUCCGAGGGAGAGUGUGAUUUUCGUGCCGGAUCGUACCCAUAUCCGCAGCAGGUCUCCAAGGUUAGAAGCCUCGAGUCAAUAGAAUAAUGUAGAUAAGGGAAGUCGGCAAAAUAGUCCUGUAACUUCGGGAGAUAGGAUGGCUCUGAAGUUGUGGAAUAAGGGGUCCUUCUCCAAAAAAUUAGGGAAUGGAUCGAGAAAUUAGACCCUAUUGGAAAGCCUUUGGUCGUUAUUACUUCGAUCGGAAGCAUUCUAGUGGGAGAAGAUUUUUCAUCUGCCUUAAUUUUUGGUUUGGAAGGUAUUCUCUUUAUGAUUAGGUGCAAAUCUAGUCAUUUAGAGUUACCAAGUCUUUAUUCAAUUAAACAUCAAUUCAGAACUGGUACUGACUUGGAGAAUCCGACUGUUUAAUCAAAACAAAGCAUUGUGAUGUCCAUAACUAGGUAUUGACACAAUGUGAUUUCUGCUCAGUGCUCUGAAUGUUAAAAUGAAGAGAUUCAAUCAAGCGCGGGUAAACAGCGGGAGUAACUAUGACUCUCUUAAGGUAGCCAAAUGCCUCGUCAUCUAAUUAGUGACGCGCAUGAAUGGAUUAACGAGAUUCCCACUGUCCCUGUCUACUAUCCAGCGAAACCACAGCCAAGGGAACGGGCUUGGCAGAAUCAGCGGGGAAAGAAGACCCUGUUGAGUCGACUUUGAAAUACCACUGUCUCCGUAGUUGUUUUUCUUAUUUAAUUAGGUAGAAACAUGGGUCGUAUCAUCUCUCAAUGAUUGAUGCGAUCCUUUAGUUCUAGGGUUUAAUUCGAUGUACACGCUUGUAGUCUAUUUCUAAUAUGAUUGGUGUCAUUGUAGGGGGUUCGCCUUCUAUUUUGGUGUCAGUCAUUUAAUUAGUUAUCAGUUCUCAAGCCUCUGUCUCGAAGAUCUAUUGUUUAAAGACAUUGUCUGAUGGGGAGUUUGGCUGGGGCGGCAUAUCUGUUACACAAUAACGCAGGUGUCCUAUGGUGAGCUCAAAGAGAACAGAAAUCUCUUGUAGACCAAAAGGGGAAAAGCUCACUUGAUUUUGAUUUCCAGUACGAAUACAAACCGUGAAAGCGUGGCCUAUCGAUCCUUUAACUUUAAAAGUUUUAAGCUAGAGGUGUCAGAAAAGUUA
rnacentral:rRNA from 1 species